CAGACGGUCAGAGGCCCACCAGCCAGCUCGUGCCACCUGCACAAAUCUCAUUCCUGCGCUCGCGCGCACAGCACAGCGCAGCGCAGAAUAUGGCGGGUUUUUUUUAAGAGGAGCUCUGCAAUUAUCAGGAGGAGCCGAGUAGCAGUAGUAUUAGAAUAAUCCGAGGGCCGGAUUCCCUAUCGCUCUCGGGAUGAUUAACCUGGUGGCAAGUGGUUGGGGCUUAGGGAGAGAGCCUGUCUAACUGGUUUGUUUAAUUAUUAGAGUGUGCGCGAGCCGACAGCGGUCUCGGAAAGCUGAGUGCUUGUCCGGGCGUCCGUGGCUCCAUUGCCAACUUGCCAUCGCGCCUGCAGCUUUCGCGCACAAGGCGCCCUUGCCCCUUGCCCCGCCGCGGCCAUGGGGUCGCCGGUGAAUGGUCGCUAGUGGCACGACGAGAGGAAGAGGAGACCACCAAAAAAAGCCUCUCCAGCUUGUUCCGUCUCGUCAAUCGUCAUGGCGGCACUAGCUACUCUGCUGGAAAAGCAUUGGACAAGUUACAGGUGGAGGGAUACUGCCAUUUUUCAUUGGUUCCUUCGGUAACCAUCGGCAAUAUUUCAAUGGCAAAUACGAGUUGAUGCUUUAGUCUUGUAAAGAAAAUAAUACCAAAACCUUUUACUAAUUGAAAAAUUGGUGUUUGAUGAAUAUCAGAGAUAUUAAAACGUCA